GCAGUUUGUGAAUCAGGGUCGGAGUGUCCUAUCCUAAGCUCAAGGUUCACUUUUUCAAUUUGCAUAUGCAGCUAGCAAAGUAUGAUACUUACCAAAAUCUAUGUGUUAUCUCUUCUCGUUUGACCUGUUGCAAAUAAGUUCAGGCUGGGACGAAAGAACGGUCCCCCAAAUGGUGAUUCUGAUAUAUUAUGUUCCAUGCCUAAAAAUUGGAUUUGGGUAUUUCAUUGAGGUGCUUAAUUAAGCUGGUGUAUUGUAGGUACAAGUCUAGCACCAAGGAGAUGUAGUGAAGGAGCUAUUGCUUUUUACCACCAAGGAGCACUUACAUGAAGAAUCGGCUAUGGUCAAGGCCAUUGCAUAUUGCUGCCAGUCAAGGCCACUUAGGUUCAUUAUACUUUUGCUUUCUCUUGAAAGAAUAGUAAUCACCAUUUUAGUGUUGCAAACGAUGUUUCAGAUUUGUAAGAAGACUAAUUGAAGAGACUGACAAGUCUUGGUGCUUCUGUGACUUAUGUGAGUAUUGAUGUCAUCCAUAUCAAAGAAGGCUUGCAGCUGUGGGGAGCAAGAGCCUUAGUACUGAUGCUUAAUUUUUGAUAUAUAAGUAUAAUAUCUUUGUAAUAGUUUUAUUUGUUAGCUUAGUCUUGAAGUUUAAAUUUUGAAUGGUAUAUCUAUAAUGAUAUUGAACUUGUUUGAGGCAUUGAAAAUAAAUACAGAAUUGUAUAGGUGCCAAAUUGGCACCUCAUUUUUUUUUAAAUUUAACCUCACAACUUUGCCACUGAUAUCAGUGGGCACUACAU